AUAUAUAUAUAUAUAUAUAUAUAUAUAUAUAUCAACAAACCCUGAAUAACACUUUUCCGGAACUUUGUCUCAGACUUGUUUUAAUCGCUCCAACCACACACACACACACACACACACACACACACACACACACACACACACACACACACUAUGGGCGAAUUUGGAUUUUAGAUUCAUGACGUAUAAUCCCAAUAAAAUCCAUUUCCAUUCCAGGUAAUAGCACUACAAACUGUCUAAAAGUUCAAGAUGAAUACUUACACAAGCCAUUGUAUGUGGCAACUUUGCAACCAUCAAAGUUUAUAUUAAAAUAUAUUUUUUGUAUUUUUGUAUUAUCUGUAAACUGGAAGAGAGAUUCAUAAGCAUGACACACAGUGUCCUGCCCUCUCACCAUUUGUAUUCAGCGGUCAGCGUGACUUCACGUUCACACAAACAAAUAAAAUGUCACCCAAACCACAAGGCCAAUCAAGACUCAUUAUUUCUGCCUGCGUUAUUUAUAACAGUUUGACUGUAAACCACGACACAGCAACAUCAGACGUGUCAGACAGUAAAAUACAUCAAAUCCAUCUACUUUAUUUCCUCUAAGAAGGCUGGGAGAGUUGUUAUAAAAUAUCAUGCAUUAACAAAAAUCUUAAAGAGAUUUAUUUGUACAUAGCACCUCUGAUCCAAGAGCGCUUUUUUAUUGCCAAAAAGAAACAUUACAAUAUCAGGCUCAAAGCUUAAGCAUAUUAUAUUGCGAGUCUCCUCCAGACAGGAAUGCACUUGGCCAAUGCUGUGUAACUCUAUGCCAAGCAGCAGAAUGCCAACCAGUGCAACAGAAGGAGGGAAUGAGAUCUCCCCUCGCUGAAUAACUUUUGCUCGUGUGAAAGCAUCUGCUCCCAUGGCAUGCCCGAAAGCUGUUCACAUUCACGCCGCUGUAAAGGCCAUGGUUCCUCAGUUAAAUGCUUUGCUCCUGUGGCUGUGCCUAUAGAGAGCCUGCACGUUGUGUCUGAAAGGUUAAAAACAAACAUUUCUGACCCAAGCCACAGUUUUUACUUCUGCUAUAUCAUUGCAUAGGAGUGUAAUCAGGUUUAUGCUCAAGACCAAACAAACCAACACUGUAGCUCAGACUAUCUGACUUUAGUUGUUAAUUCUGUGGAUACUUUUUAGUAUUUGUAGUAAGCAAAAAGAGAUGCUCUAUCAGCAUGUGGUUAAAUUCAUCCUCUCACACACAGCCCUGUUAGCAUGAUGUGGUCAAUUUCAUCAUCUGACACACAGCCCUGUUAGCAUGUAGCCAAGUCAUCCUGUCUCACACAGCCCUGUUAGCAUGUAGCCAAGUCAUCCUGUCUCACACAGCCCUGUUAGCAUGUAGCCAAGUCAUCCUUCCUCACAGCCCUGUUAGCAUGUAGCCAAGUCAUCCUGUCUCACACAGCCCUGUUAGCAUGAUGGGGUCAACUGAUCCUCUCACACAUAGCCCUGUUAGCAUGAUGGGGUCAAUUUCGUCUCCUGACUCACAGCCCUGUUAGCAUGUAGCCAAGUCAUCCUCUCACACACAUCCCUGGAAACAUUUGGUCAAUUUAAUCCUCUCACACACAGCCUUACAAGCAUGCAGUCAGCUCUGUUAUCACGUGGUCAAAUUAUUUCUCGCAAACAGUUAUGCAUGUAGUCAAAUUCAGUCUCUAAGAAACAGUUGCUGUGUUCACGCUGAGUGAUGACGUAAACAAAACAUAGUCAUUUUCUUUAAGCACAGAUCUAUCGUUAGAGGAUCUUCAUCGUUUAAUCUGACAUGGAUAACAUGUUAUCACAGUCUUUAAUAAAAUUCAGACAAGAUUUUAUGACAACCAUCUCGUACAGUUCAUCUUAAAAGACAGCUGAAAAUCACAGUCCGCACAAAACUGCACAAAUCAAAUGCAUUAAACCAACGUUCUGCCUAGCUAGUUACCAUGAUGUCAUGAAGCUAAAAAAAAAAAAAAAGAAGUAAAAAAGCACUUAACUUAGUGCUCCAUGUGCAGUGCUUAUGACAGGGUCUGGGAGUUAGGGGACUUGAGUGACAACCUGAAUAACUGGACUGGGCACAGAAUCAGGCUUCAUCUCCCUCAACGGACAAGGCGCCUGAGCAAACAGGCACUGAUCUGAA
ensembl:lncRNA